UACAGAGGUGGCAAGCGUUGUUCGGAAUUACUGGGCGUAAAGGGCGAGUAGGCGGCCUUCUAAGUCAGACGUGAAAUCCCCCGGCUUAACCUGGGAACUGCGUCUGAUACUGGGAGGCUCGAGUAUGGGAGAGGGAUGUAGAAUUCCAGGUGUAGCGGUGAAAUGCGUAGAUAUCUGGAGGAAUACCGGUGGCGAAGGCGGCAUCCUGGACCAUUACUGACGCUGAAUCGCGAAAGCUAGGGGAGCAAACGGG
rnacentral:rRNA from 1 species